AGAGCCUUGUACACCACCAGCUCUGGAGCCGGCAGUGAACAUUUGCAAUGCACAGUGCUGGAAUUCUGGGCUCGUGGCUACUGAUUGCGCUUAUACUCCCCGGCUUCGCAGGCCGGACUCCAGUUCCAAAGGCUGGGCGAGGAAGCAACUAAUGUAGCAAGAAGCUGUGCCUGUUACCACUUGGGGUCUUUGGCCAGCGGGCGCAGAAAUUAAUUCGGUGCACCUGCAUUUUGACUGCCACCCAUCCCAUGAGGUCAGAGGUCGAACUUCCCAUUUGCAGCCUCAUGUUAGUGCUGAUUGAAUUUUGGAUUUGGGAUCAUUUUGGAUUUUUGAGUUUCAAGAUUUUCACAGAAGAUUAAAACUAUCAGAGUGAUUGUGAAAGCUGGUCCGUGGAUGGCAGUAGGAAUGAUGUAGCAGGUCUUUGUCAUGUGACUCUGCAUGAAGCCCAUUGGCAGAAAGGAUCUGGGUGAAUCAGAAGGCAAAGCACUUUAACAUACUGCAGCCAUGUGUAGCUUGAUCUCUUCCCUGAGCUCCACAGUAAUCUUUUUUUCUUUUCCUUCUACAAAAAAGUGUCAGUCUAUGGCUUACGAGAUAUGUCUUAACAUAACCUAGGAAGAAAUUUUAAAAAACAACUCUUGUUUCAGGACUGAAAGUUAUCCGGAAAACUGGAGAAACGCUGACUGUCACUGUAAGGAAAUGAAAAACAGGAGGUGACAUGUUUGUGUUGGGCAGAUGGGAAGUGGCUUUCUGUAUUUCCAUAGGUAAUUAUGACAUCAUCAAGGAAAUGUGAGAAAGCCAUUAGCAUUGCACAAAUGCCUGCUGAUCUUGUUUCUGAAGGUUGUUCAGUUGAACUCAACCACAGUUGUACGUACACUUUUUCAAAGUAUGUGUGAUGUUUUAGUUUUGUUAAUUUGUUUUGAGUUAAAAUAUGUGAUCCCUCUUAAAUAUUCCAUUUCUAAAUCACCUCUAAAAUUAAGACUAAAGUAAUGAAUUCACAUAAUGCUGGCAUUUCAGAAAAUAGCUAUAUUAUUGUUAAUAGUGGAAUUACGAGAAAUAAGUCCUUCUGUAGUAAGCAGUACCUAUCGUCAAUAUUUAUUUGAAUAGCUUACUGACUAUCUGGAGGAUGUGUGUUUUCUUGCAAGCCUAGGAUGCUAGAAAAAUAAGGAAGCAUUGUGCUUCCUUUCUCUGGCAAGAGCAGUGUAUUUGCUCUCUGUAGGGACCUGUUGGUCACUGAGCAAAUCACUGUUCUACGUAUAACCUUGAUGAUUUACAUGAUUCUCUAAAAAGCACACACCCAGGGUUUUGUUCCAAAUGCAUAAUAUUAGCAAACAACCUGUCUAAUAAACUUGAAAUGUUGUCCCAGAAAAUGCAGAGAAAGGGAAGAUAUAUGGAUAAUUUAGGUAGUUUUUCUCCUUGAAUUUGGAGUCCUUCUGUUUCAACUCUGCUUGAAAGUUCGAAUCUUGUUCUUAGGUUCAAUUAAUGAAUGCAUGAAUGGGAAUGAGGUCAUUCCUCCCCCUAGCUUUUUAGAGACAUAGGUGAAUUACUCUUGAGAUAGUCUGUGUGGGUUAAAUGAGCUUGCUCCUUUAGCCCUAAAAAAAAAAAAAAAAAAUUAGGUUCUAUUUCCAUAUGGAUCUCUUAGGGUCACAUUAAAAAAUGCAAUUUAAUGGUACCUGCAUAACCUGGCUGGAUGGCAUAGAGAACACUCCAAGAGAAAGAGAUGAUGAAAAGACCACAUAACUUUACAGGUGAGUGACUUCACAUGACACCUUUACGUGCCACCAAAUUGUAUACAGGGCUCUUUCUACAAUAGCUAGCAUGUAUGUGCUUACCAAGUGCCAGGUCCAGUUAUAAAUGCUUUAGCUCAUCAAGUCAUCACAGAAAACCCACAACAGAGGCUAGAGAGGUCAAGUCACUGGCCCCAAAUCACACAGUAGUUGGCAUAAGGUACAUCUGGAGGAGGAAGCCAGGCAAUAUAAAGCCAAGUCCUUGCUCAUAAAAAUGCUAAAUUUGGGAUGGGCUUGUGACUCAAUGGUAGAGCACUAGCCCAGCACUUGUGAGGCCCUGGGUUCAAACAAAUAAAUAAAGGUAUUGUUUCCAACUACAACUAAAAAAUAAAUGUUUUAAAAAUAAUGUUAAACUCAGUGGCUUCUAUGCCAGCCCACCUUACUCUUGUCCAUCUACCUCCUUCUCUCUCUUUUAUUACUUGUACACAUAGACAAAUGAUCGUUGAGUAGUUCAUUCUAUCGCGGGGAACCAGCACCAACUCUUAUAAACCACAUUGAUUCCUGCAUCUGAACAUGCAUAUCCCAGACUUUGGAGAAUGUCAGUCAUACAAUCUUUGCAUUGGACAGUGAGUCCUGAGACAAAGUGAUGGGAUGGGAGGUGUCAGAGGUGGCCAGAGCUGGAAGCCCAGGUUCCAACCUGGACUCUUCUCCAGGUGAGUUGGUGAUCAUAGGCAAUUCAGGAGUUGACACAUCUCUCUGUUCCCUUCAGACUCAAACAUUCUAUAAUCCCAUGGUACAAGGUUUGAGAGACUUGGACACGGUAUUUUUAAAAAGCAGGUGGCAGAUAAAGAAGAAUGAGCACUACAUUUGACAGCUAAGUUAUGUUUCCGCCUGUUUCCUGACUACAAAUCCAUCUCCCCCCAUGGAUAAUCAUUGGGCCGAACUGGUGAAAUCUUAUUUGAGUGAUAGAACUUGGGAAACUCUUCUUAAAUGCUUAGUGAUUAGUUUGGUAUUUGAAGAAUGCUAAAAAGAAACAUAAAAUCUAAUAAAUCUGAUUUGAGGAUUUAUACAUGAAAGACUUUCCUAUAGGCCUUAAUAAUAGAUGGGACAGUACUUUGAAAAUGAAGGUUUUAGCUGGUUGUAGUAGCUCACAUCUGUAAUCCCAGCAAUUUGGGAGGCCAAGGCAGGAGGAUCACAAGUAUGAGACCAACCUAUGCAACUUGUUAAGACCCUGUCUCAAAAUAAAAAUAAAUUAAAAAAAAAAGGUGUGGGGGUGUAGCUCAGUGAUAGAGUAUCCUAGGGUUCAAUCCACAGACUGAUUAAAAAAAAAAGAAAGAAAGAAAAUGUGGUUGUUAAACCAUAUCUUUGCAAACUAUUUAGCUUCUGUAUAUUCUUCUGAUUUUAAAAUGAUCCAAUGUGUCAUUAUCUUUCAAUACCAGGCAAAUAUUACAGUAGUUUCAAUAAGAGAACAUAUUUUACCUUUAAACAUUACCACAUGACACUAUUCUUAUUCAUUUAUUUAUUUUGGGGGAGAUACUGGGAAUUGAAUCCAGGGGUGCUUAACCAUAGAGCCACAUCCCCAACUCUUUUAAUUUUUUUGAGACAGGGUCUCGCUAAGUUGCUUAGGGCCCCACUAAAUUGCUGAGACUGGCUUUGAACUCAUGAUCCUCCUGUCUCAGCUUCCCAAGCUGCUGGGAUUACAGGUAUGUGCCACCAUGCCCAGCUCUUCUAAGUUUUGAGUCUACUUCAUUCAGUAUGCAACUUAUUACUAGACCAAUAAGUUCCAAUUCUGGAGAAAGCAAUCAUUAAAAAAAAAAUGAGGGAACUAUACAUUCAAUCCUUACAUUCUGGUGCAGUUCUAAAGAUAUGAUUAAAUUUAUAGUUCUAUUACUCUUUAACUCACAAGCUUACCAGCAAUAGCCAUGGUCUCUUAUUGUUCUUCAAAUAAGAAUUACUUAUGAUUUUAACAUCAAAGAGUAUUAAAUUUACAAAUGAGAAUAACUUUUAAAACGAGUAUUGAAUUUUGGUAUAGAAUCUUAUUAAAGUCCUACACAAAAGCACCAGAUGGAAGAACUUGAAUAUAACAGUUGGGGUCUCUGGGCGUCUCAUCAAUAUCUGAAACUGCACUCAUCAUUAUUGGAACAGUUUCAUCAAAUGAUUGGGGUGUUAGCUGGUUUUAUUCCUAAGAUGGUACCUAUAUCCUGAAAAGACAAGUUCCUUCUUCUAAUGUAGAGGCUCUGGCCUUUUGACCCAAAAAUUCCUUUCAGAGAAAGCAUACAUGGAUCUGAGCGUCAGGGUGAACACAUAGUUUGGAGACAAUGUCCAGGAGCCUGCCUGAGCUUGAACUCUGAAAAGAAUUGUGAAGCUGCAUCCUGUCAGAGCUUCCUCUCAUUCCUGUAUUUCUUUUUCCCUGUUGCGCCUUAUUGGCAGCAAAUGGACUAUUCUUUGGUACUGUUUCUCUACGUUCUUUCCCACAAUCUUUUUUUUUUUUUAAUUCUAUCUCCCUCAUCUACUUUGGUACCUUUUUUUCCAAGGCACUCACCUGACUUUUCAUUCUCCCCAUGAGUCUGUUCAUCCCAACAUCUCUUUUGUUUCUAAUCUAUGAAAAGAAGCAAAUAACAAAACUGCAAGAAAUAAUUCCUGGUCCCUCUGUGAGAGGGAAGCUUCGCUUCAUCUGUAUUAUUGGAUGUGCACUUUUCUGCGUGGUGAAGCAAGUCAGUAUUCACAUCUGAUUUAACUGUGGAGAGAAAUCAUGUCUCUGCAGCUGAUUCAGAGAGAAAGCAAAGGAACGUCUUCUGACUUUCCCACCCAACUAAUCCACUGGCACACACACACACAGUGGACUUGGACACUGGUUAGGCACUGAGGAGACAGCCCUACAGCCAAAGUCUAGUGGGGAAUUAGAGAUGCAAACAAAUAUCAACAGUUCAAUGAGAUAUGAUAUGGGCUGAUGAGCACUGAUUUGAGAAUUUGCAAAAUAAAGCAAGCAAAUAUGUUUCUUUGCUGAGAGGAGAUGAUUGCAGAAAAGAGAUGACCUUUAAAAAGAGACUUGGAAAAAACAACAAAGAAGAAACCCAUAGAAGGAGCUCUGCUGACAGAAAGAUAUGGACACCCAGAAACUACACGGGUAACCAGAUGCAGUGGUGCAUGCCUUAAUCCCCGCUACUUGGGAGGCUGAGACAGGAGGAUUGCAAGUUCAAGGCCAACCUAUGAAACGUAGGCCUUUUCUCAAAAAUAAAAGGAAAAGGGCUGGGAUAUACCCCAUCAGUAGAGGGUUCGUGGGUUGAAUGCCUCAAAGGCACAAGUCAUGGCUGGGAGAUAGGGUAUAAUUUGGGGUGGCAAGAGACAAAGCUGAAAAACAUGGCAAACAGGACUUCAUGUGUUUUUUGCCUGCUGAUGUGGAUAUUAUCCUAUAGGUGGGGAGAAAGCACAGGAGAAUUUUAAACACUCAAAAUACAAUGGACAAACUUGUGUAUGCUUGGAAAAAGGAAACUCUGUCAAGCCGUUGGGAGGAAAAUUGGAGAUACACUGAUCUCCUGUGAAGGUAAAAGAUGGUGUGAGCAUAAAUAAAAGGAGCAAAAACAAGGAAUAAACAUGAGAGAUGGUUUGAAACUAGAAGGGUUUUGGAGAUCUAACACAUAUUGGAGGAGGGGCCUCAGAAGAGAAAGUGUCAAAGAUAACCUCACAAGUUAUUUUUUUUUAACGAUUGUCUUGAGUUUCCAAAUAAAUGGAUAAUAAUAUUACAAAAAUAUGCAUACAAGUCAAAAAGUGAGCUUGGCAAGGGAAAGUUAUAUAUGCGUUUCAGUUACACAUCUUCCCUUAGGGAUGUCUAUCUGGACAUGGGUACGCUUGCAGAAAUAAGUGAUAUCAAGUUCAGGGAAGAAAUGCAGAUUUUGGAAUCACUGGAUAGAGGCAGCAAAGGAAGUUACAAAUUUGAGAAGACACCCCAGGAGAAAUACCUAGAGCAGAGAGAAACGAAAACCUAAGUUGAAAUCUUGAGAAAUGGCCAAUAGUCAGGGCAAGGAUCAAGCAAAGGGGAUUAGAAAGACAGAAAGAUAGGAAGAGACAUUGAGGUGGGGUGGUGUUGCAACAUCAAAGGGAGAAAGAUUUUUGGGAAGGGAGUGGACAACAAUGUUAGAGGCUUAAGGGCGGUCAAAUAAGAUAAGGAAUGCAAAUGUCAAGUGGAUUUCAAAAUUGGGAAUUUAUAGGUAACCUUACCACGAUGAGCUUCAGAAAAGUUGGUGGAGAGAAAUAUCAGAGGGAUGAAGAAAGUGUGGGACUUGAAGUCAAGGUGAUUCGGAUGUAUUCCUUUUGAGAAUUCCCUUGAGAACCCCUGCACUCUACAAACUACUGAGAACCCCAAGAAGAUUUUGUUUAUGUGGGUUACAUCUGUUAACAUUAACCAUAGAAUUAAAACCGAGAACUUACUAUUUUAUCCAUUUAAAAUAAAUCUAUUAUACUCAACAUAAA